GACGAACGCUGGCGGCGUGCCUAAUACAUGCAAGUCGAACGCAGAGGGGACGGGCGAGUAACACGUGGGUAACCUCCCAUCAGAGGGGAUAACACUUGGAAACAGGUGCUAAACCGAUACUGAUGGAUGGACCCGCGGUGCAUUAGCUAGUUGGUGAGGUAACGGCACGCCAAGGCCACGAUGCAUAGCCGGCCUGCGAGGGUGUACGGCCACCCUGGGACUUAGACACGGCCCAUACUCCUACGUGAGGCAGCAGGAGGGACUCUCCGGCAAUGGACGAAAGUCUGCCCGAGCAAAGCCGUGUGAGUGAAGAAGGUUUGCGGAUCGUAAACCGCUGUUGUUAGAUAAGCGGUUUCUAACCUGAAGGCCACGGCUAACUACGUGCCAGUAGCCGCGGUAAUAC
rnacentral:rRNA from 1 species